CUUACUCCCCAAUUGUCGUUAAAUUAAUUGAACUCAAUUGCAGUUUACGCGACGCUCAUUCGCUCAAUCAAAGCUCUGUUCACUUGCUCAGUUAUGCUCUAGCAGCCACAAGCCCCGCAAACGUUAACGCUACUCUCUUCAAAUACCUCAGCCUGGGCUAGUGCAACGGCGAUUACGCAGUGUUUCGUAGGUGCCUCGUUCUAGUCGCGCGUUAGUCCUUACUGUGAAGAGUCUCACAUAGCUCAGCCAUUUGAAAAUUCCGGUUUUUUUCGUGCGUCCGUGCUUGUAUAGUGAGUGGUGGUCCGUUGAAAUGGCCACCGACCGUCGUAGUGUGUGUGGCAAAAGGUUUUGCACUUAAGCGCUACCACGACCUGAAGACAUUGUACAUUGUACGCGUAUAGUAUAAUCAGGUCGCAACGAGGGAAUUGGCAAAAAUGGAACAAAUUAAAUUGUAUUAAACGGGGAAAAAGGAGUAUAAAGGCAAAUAGAAAUGAUAAUUAAAAGGAGAAUCAGUUGGGAAAAAACACAAACACGCGUGUAGCACAGGGACUACACACACAAGCAUUCUCAAAACAAACAAUAAAGCACGACAUAAAAUUAAAUCACACGCGAAAUCAUGUCGGACGACGGCAGCAGUCAAUGCCCACUCUUGCAGUUGGAUUCGGAGCCACUGCUCACACCUGCCUUACUCUUUGUGGUGCUGCUGAUAUUUGUGGCCGCCGCUGCUGUAGCGGCUGCCUAAGCGUCACACCAAGCCAAGCCGAGCCAAGCUAAAUCCAGUCAACGUCGCGGCGUGCUCGUGUCCAACCACCAAACGAUGCUGGCGCCGAGUGAAAUCGCUGAAACGAAUCGGCGCUUGUGGUUUCCGUUUCGUAACACUCAGCGACACUAACAGUCAGUAGCGAUAGUGGUCGUAAAGGCGGUCGCACUCAUAGUGCCGCAUACAAUUCGAUUUAAUUCGAUUGCGCUUUACACGCACACACACACACACAAGUAAACGCGUUGAGUAGCUGUAUUUAUUACGCCAAUGCGAGUCCGUUGUUUAUGUGCAGCCAUUUGUGCGCGGCAUGAAAAAGUGACAUUUGUAAACAGCUGAAUUAAAGAGGCAAAAUAUACAUAGCUGUAAAAACAAUAAAAACCAACAAGCGACGAGAAAUAGUGACGGUGCCAGGCGCACGGAGUACGCGUACAAAACGUCAGUGGUGUGCCAUAUUUGGCAAGCGGUGAGUCAGUGAGUCAGCGAGUCGUCAGUGUGCGAACGAACGUCAAUGGAGGACCAAGUGAAUGAGUGGAUUACAUAAAAGGCGAAAAUGUCAGCGCACAAAUAAAGCAUAAAUCGAGUUGAGUCGCAAAGUGAAGCGAAUUUCGCUAACAAUAAAUAACGGUAUAAUAUUCAACAACAACGCUUGCGAGUAGCGAAGCAAAAAAGUGCAAUAAAAACGAAGUUGCAGCGAAUCAAUUGUAAAAUUUAAUUUCAACAAAAGUCAACACAUUUGUGUAUGUGCGUAUGUGUGAGCCACGCAAAUGGCUUACAAAAACAAAAAAAUGUGAACGCAUGUAUGACCCGGAACGCCCACCAUAUAUCGACUGAUGAAUGUUGGCACAAAGUGCAUGUGU